CGUUAUCCGGAAUGAUUGGGCGCUAAGGGUGCGUAGGCGGUACGUUAAGUCUGUAGUAAAAGGCGGCAGCUCAACUGUCGUAGGCUAUGGAAACUGGCGAACUAGAGUGCAGAAGAGGGCGAUGGAACUCCAUGUGUAGCGGUAAAAUGCGUAGAUAUAUGGAAGAACACCAGUGGCGAAGGCGGUCGCCUGGUCUGUAACUGACGCUGAAGCACGAAAGCGUGGGGAGCAAAUAGGAUUAGAUACCCUAGUAGUCCACGCCGUAAACGAUGAGAACUAAGUGUUGGGGGAAUAACUCAGUGCUGCAGUUAACGCAAUAAGUUCUCCGCCUGGGGAGUAUGCACGCAAGUGUGAAACUCAAAGGAAUUGACGGGGGCCCGCACAAGCGGUGGAGUAUGUGGUUUAAUUCGAAGCAACGCGAAGAACCUUACCAGGCCUUGACAUCCCCGGCGAAGACAUGGAGACAUGUCGGAGGUUACCCGGGAGACAGGUGGUGCAUGGUUGUCGUCAGCUCGUGUCGUGAGAUGUUGGGUUAAGUCCCGCAACGAGCGCAACCCUUGUGAUAUGUUACUAACAUUGAGUUGAGGACUCAUAUCAGACUGCCGGUGACAAACCGGAGGAAGGUGGGGAUGACGUCAAAUCAUCAUGCCCCUUAUGGCCUGGGCUACACACGUACUACAAUGGCGGCUACAAAGAGCGGCGAACCCGCGAGGGGGAGCGAAUCUCACAAAGGUCGUCUCAGUUCGGAUUGAAGUCUGCAACCCGACUUCAUGAAGUUGGAAUCGCUAGUAAUCGCGAAUCAGCAUGUCGCGGUGAAUACGUUCUCGGGCCUUGUACACACCGCCCGUCAAACCAUGGGAGUUGGUAAUACCCGAAGCCGGUGGCAUAACCGCAAGGAGUGAACCGUCGAAGGUAGGAUCGAUGACU
rnacentral:rRNA from 1 species